rnacentral:rRNA from 1 species
GGACCCGCACAAGCAGUGGAUCAUGUGGUUUAAUUCGAUGCUACGCGAAAAACCUUACCAGCUCUUGAAUCCCAUUGACCGGUAUAGAGAUAUACCUUUGGCGCAAGCCACAGUGGUGACAGGUGUUGCAUGGCUGUCGUCAGCUCGUGUCGUGAGAUGUUAGGUUAAGUCCUUCAACGAGCGCAACCCUCAUCCUUAUUUGCCAUCGGUUCGGCCGGGAACUAUAAGGAAACUGCCAGCGAUAAGCUGGAGGAAGGUGGGGAUGAUGUCAAGUCAUCAUGGCCCUUAUGGGCUGGGCUACACACAUGAUACAAUGGUGGUUACAACGGGACGCAAGGCAGCAAUGCCAAGCCAAUCCUUCAAAGGCCAUCUCAGUUCGGAUUGGGGCUGCAACUCGCCCCCAUCGAAGUUGGAAUUGCUAGUAAUCGC